UACGGAGGGUGCAAGCGUUAAUCGGAAUUACUGGGCGUAAAGCGUGCGCAGGCGGUUUGUUAAGUCUGUUGUGAAAUCCCCGAGCUCAACUUGGGAAUUGCAAUGGAUACUGGCAGGCUGGAGUAUGGUAGAGGAAGGUGGAAUUCCCGGUGUAGUGGUGAAAUGCGUAGAGAUCGGGAGGAACACCUGUGGCGAAGGCGGCCGACUGGGCCGACCCUGACGCUGAGGCGCGAAGGCGUGGGGAGCGAACGGG
rnacentral:rRNA from 1 species